rnacentral:rRNA from 1 species
CCGCUCAGAGGUAAACGGGUGGAGUUGAACUGCGAACCCUGAGAAUUCAACUGGUGAGUGUGGUAUGAGCUUGGCAUGAAGGUUGGCUCUGCGGGUCUGCUUAGCUGCAGGUCUUCGCCUUUUGGUGGAGAUGCGCGAUACACUUGUCAAGUGGUGCGCGCUCGUUGAGUUUCUCGGACAUACUUGCCAGUGCACUUUCUCGGGGUGUUCACCACGACCGGCGCCGCUACUUGUCCAAUAUGGUUAAACCGGUCUUGCUUGGUCCCUGUGGCUUUGCUUGAUCGGGAUGGCAGGUAACUCGUUGACUUGUGUGUUGACCUCGGUUGGCAUGCGCUUGGUUUUCGAGUGUAAUCAGCUGACUGUAUUGGUGCUAUGUGGUGCGUCGGAGACGGCGGCUUGUGGUGUGUGCCUGCGUGCCUAUUUGCUGACGGAACCGGGUUUGGUUAUUAUGUUGCCUGUUUUGCAGGCCUGGUGAUGGCUCGGUUUCGCUUGGUGGAUGGGAGCGUGGGUGACACUUAUCAGGGCCUAUAGUCUGUGGUGUUGUGGUAGACUAUCCACCUGACCCGUCUUGAAACACGGACCAAGGAGAGUAACAUGUGCGCGAGUCAUGGGGUGUUACGAAACCCAAAGGCGAAGUGAAAGUAAAGACUUGACUUGUUCGAGUUGAGGUGAGAUCCUGUCGUUUCUCAUGCGCGGUACUUCCAAGCAUUCGAGCGAUGGGCGCAUCACCGGCCCGUCCCAUGGUGUGGUCACUGUCUUCGGAUUGGUGCGUCACCGGGGCGGAGCAUGAGCGCACAUGUUGAGACCCGAAAGAUGGUGAACUAUGCUUGCGCAGGUUGAAGCCAGAGGAAACUCUGGUGGAGGACCGUAGCGAUUCUGACGUGCAAAUCGAUCGUCAAACGUGAGUAUAGGGGCGAAAGACUA